rnacentral:rRNA from 1 species
UACGGGGGGAGCAAGCGUUGUUCGGAUUUACUGGGCGUAAAGGGCGCGUAGGCGGCCACCGCAAGUCGACUGUGAAAUCUCCGGGCUCAACCCGGAAAGGUCAGCCGAUACUGCGGGGCUAGAGUGCAGAAGGGGCAACUGGAAUUCUCGGUGUAGCGGUGAAAUGCGUAGAUAUCGAGAGGAACACCUGCGGCGAAGGCGGGUUGCUGGGCUGACACUGACGCUGAGGCGCGAAAGCUAGGGGAGCGAACGGG